rnacentral:lncRNA from 1 species
CAUUUCAUUCAUCAUGAACAUCCCAGCAUAAAGCAUCAUUCAAAUUGGCGAUCACAAGACUUGGCAAAAUCACCCACCUCGGAAAUAUUCAACCAUCAUAAACUUCUGUUUCCAUUUCCUAUAUCCCCUUCCAUAUGUAUUUUCCAUAGCUCAUUAGGUUUGAAGCCCUCGUUCCUCCUAUCUGCAUGACAGGCUCCGUAGCCGCCCAUCUCCUUAAUCUGUUCGAAAAAAAGACACUGGCUCGGUCAUAUUUCGAGACAGUAGCUUUCCAGCGGAAUAGAAUCGAACAGCUUGGAGGCAACGGAAUGCCGGGAUUGUCUGCCGCCCAGCACCCGGACGACGACUUCGCUCGUGAGACGAGGAGAGCUCUCUUCCAAUUCCCCCGAGAGCUCGAGCCCCUUCCUAAAUCCACUCCAAAAAUCUAAUCUUUCGGCGAAUACUAUAAUGUCCACUUGUCCAGUAGCACAUCAGAAUCAAACAAACUGAAACGGAAUCUCGAUAUGAAACAAAUAAUUAUCAAACAAUCGCGCUGCGAAGAAAAAGUUAUAUAGAUCACUUCGCCUUCCCCCUUCCUCUCCUCGGUCUCGCCGCUGCUUUUCUCCCCCGGCCACGGCUGGUGCUCGGAUAAUACUCACCCAGCAUCCGCUCGACGGACUCCACCAUCGUAGCAUUAUGCGGUCUGCCUCUGGUGCCUUUGGUUCGACGAGCAGCAGCAGCCUUGCCUGAAGGCUCAAGGAUUCUCCCGGACGGUCCUUCGGCUGGCUCGCCAUUGCCGGAGUUGCUUACCU